UACGGGGGGGGCAAGCGUUGUUCGGAAUUACUGGGCGUAAAGGGCUCGUAGGCGGCCAAUUAAGUCAGACGUGAAAUCCCCAGGCUUAACCUGGGAACUGCGUCUGAUACUGGUUGGCUUGAAUUCGGGAGAGGGAUGCAGAAUUCCAGGUGUAGCGGUGAAAUGCGUAGAUAUCUGGAGGAAUACCGGUGGCGAAGGCGGCAUCCUGGACCGAGAUUGACACUGAGGAGCGAAAGCCAGGGGAGCAAACGGG
rnacentral:rRNA from 1 species